rnacentral:lncRNA from 1 species
AGUGCAACUUUAGGACAUUCCAUGUGGGACACAGUUUUAAAUAAUUGAAAUUCAUGUUUGCAUAAAUUAUUGUUUUAAACAGGGGCCACGUCCAUUGCAAAUGAUGAUUAGCAUUAAAACACAAGCUGGUGGAACAGAAAGCGGUCAUUAGCAAGUUUUUCUCACAGCUGUCAGAAACCUUCUGUCACCCUGUGCCAAGACAGCGUUCCGCCCACUGCUAUUUCACGCCAGGGACAGAGAGAGACAGAGAGACAGAGAGAGAGAGAGUGAGAGAGAGAGGGAGAGAAGGAGAGCAUGCCGGGCGCCAGAAGCGGCAUCAACAAACAGGUGAAGCAGGCUGAGGAGGUGAAGGGUGCCAAUCCAUGAUUCUGUGAGUGGAAAGAUGGGGCAGAAUGCGGAAUGGAGAGUAGACGAAUGAGGUACCACCGUUGAAAAGUCAUUUUCUUCCUUUCCAGUCCGUGAGCCUGUUGUUCAUGAUGCACAUGCAUUCCCACCUGACCUGAGGUGAAUCUAUCUCUCUUAACCUGCAGCAGUCGAGAUGGAUGGUCAGUGUGGUGACUCUUGUAUUUACCUCUGAAAGCCUGUCUACAGUAUGUGCGGCUGGA